GAUGAACGCUGGCGGCGUGCCUAAUACAUGCAAGUCGAGCGAACAGACGAGGAGCUUGCUCCUCUGACGUUAGCGGCGGACGGGUGAGUAACACGUGGAUGACCUACCUAUAAGACUGGGAUAACUUCGGGAAACCGGAGCUAAUACCGGAUAAUAUAUUGAACCGCAUGGUUCAAUAGGGAAAGACGGGGGGGCGGGCACGGAGAGAUGGAUCCGCGCCGCAUUAGCUAGUUGGUAAGGUACGGCUUACCAAGGCAACGAUGCGUAGCCGACCUGAGAGGGUGAUCGGCCACACUGGAACUGAGACACGGUCCAGACUCCUACGGGAGGCAGCAGUCGGGCCUCUUCCGCCCUGGGCGCCCGCCUGCCGUCGCCCCGCCGCGUGCGUGAUGAAGGUCUUCGGAUCGUAAAACUCUGUUAUUAGGGAAGACCCCCUGUGUCCGUCCCUCUGCCCGUCUUGCCGGUCCCUCCUCCGAAGGCCCCGGCUCCCUCCGUG
rnacentral:rRNA from 1 species